CAACAAUCACAGAGCAAAACUCAUCACAAUGGACGACUUUCAAUCUCAUUUCUGGUCUGCUGAAUGUCUUUCUGAUAACUACAGGUCUGGUGGCAGCUAUUUGUGCUGUUAAUAAUGGAUGUUGGUUCAGAUCUGGAAACAGUUCAGGACAACUUUAUAACACUGACUUUAUAGAACAGCUGACACAAGAACAACAUCAAGACCCAAACCAACUACAGUAUGUGACGGUGGUUUUCCAAGCGGUGUAAAAACUCAGCCAACACAACAGCACCUGCUAAGUAUGCCAAAAAACAUAAUCACAAGAAUAUGCUUAAUUUUAU